rnacentral:rRNA from 1 species
UACGUAGGGUGCGAGCGUUAAUCGGAAUUACUGGGCGUAAAGCGUGCGCAGGCGGUUCGUUGUGUCGGUGGUGAAAUCCCCGGGCUUAACCUGGGAAUGGCCAUGGAAACUGGCGAACUGGAGUGCGGCAGAGGGGGGUGGAAUUCCGCGUGUAGCAGUGAAAUGCGUAGAGAUGCGGAGGAACACCGAUGGCGAAGGCAAUCCCCUGGGCCUGCACUGACGCUCAUGCACGAAAGCGUGGGGAGCAAACGGG